rnacentral:rRNA from 1 species
UACAGAGGGUGCAAGCGUUAAUCGGAAUUACUGGGCGUAAAGCGUGCGCAGGCGGUUUUGUAAGUCUGAUGUGAAAUCCCCGGGCUCAACCUGGGAAUUGCAUUGGAGACUGCAAGGCUAGAAUCUGGCAGAGGGGGGUAGAAUUCCACGUGUAGCAGUGAAAUGCGUAGAGAUGUGGAGGAACACCGAUGGCGAAGGCAGCCCCCUGGGUCAAGAUUGACGCUCAUGCACGAAAGCGUGGGGAGCAAACAGG